rnacentral:lncRNA from 1 species
GCUGGGGGCGCGAUGGGGACAGAGGGGACAGGACGGGGCUGGGGGCAUUGGGAUGGAGGAGAUGGGGAGGGGACAGGGAUGAGGACAGGGGCUGCGUCAACCUGGUGGUGUCCCCUGCGCUGGGGGAAGGGGAACGCUGCGGCAGGGGGAUCGCAGAAUGGGGCACAGGGGGGAGUGGGUGUCACCCAGGGGUGACGGGGAUGGAGACAGGGUGAUGGAAGGGACAAGGCUGCAAGGGGGACACGUCACCCAGGGUAACGCGGGGGCGCUGUGCCCUGCAGUGACGGGGACGUGGGGUGACAGAGACGACGCGGACGCUGGCACCCUCUGAGCUGCUUUAUUCUAUUUACAGGGGUGGGAAGAGGCCGGGUGACAGGGUGGGUGUCCCCAGGGUGUCCCCUGUGGCGUUGGGCGAAGGCACAGAAAGGCCAGGGCACCCUGGGGUGCAGAGCUGGCAAGGAUGCUCUUGGGGGUGGGAGGGCACGGUGGGGGGCAGGGGGCACCCUGGGGUGCACCGUGGGGUGCAGGAUGUAUUAUGGGCACCCAAGGAUACCACUGGGCAGCCUGGGCUGAAGGAUGCUCCCAGGGGCACCCAAGGGCACCCUGGGGUUGUAGGAUGCAUCAGGGCACCCACAGACACCGUUACUUGUUAUGGGGUGCAGGAUGCCCCACGGGCACCCAAAGGUGCUCUUGGUUCUCAUGAGCUGCAGGAUGCCCCAAGGGGACCGUUGAGCACCCUGGGGUGCAGGACGGCACCACAGGCACCUGAUGGCACUGUUGAGCACCCUGGGGUGCAGGACGGCACCACAGGCACCUGAUGGCACUGUUGAGCACCCUGGGGUGCAGGAUGUCCCAUGGGCACCCAAAGGUGCUCUUGGUUCUCAUGAGCUGCAGGAUGCCCCAAGGGGACUUUUGAGCACCCUGGGGUGCAGGAUGGCACCACAGGCACCUGAUGGCACUGUUGAGCACCCUGAGGUGCAGGACGCCCCAUGGGCACCCAAGGGCACCGUU